AGGGGCCGGAUUUGGUGAGAAUCCUUCCUCUUUCCUUUUAUUUGUUUUUUAUUUGUAUCUUUUUUAAUAGAUUUGUAUAAAAAAUAAAAGAAAUAUUAAAGAAGCAAGAAAACGAAAAAAUGAAAAUAAAGAGAACAAAAUCGAAGAUCAACCUUCUGUGUUUUUUUUGUUUGAUUCAUUGAAAAAUAUGCGAGUGAUACAAUUUUUUUGGAUCCCCCUUUUACAAUCAGUUUCAUUUCGGCUUUAUAGCCGAUUCCCAUAUUAAAAUAUUGUUUGUUUUAUUCUCUGUUACUGCUUGUGCUUCUUGCUGCCAUCUUUUCUUCUUUUCCAAAUUUUUGCAGGUUAUGGGAGUGUCAGGCGCAUUGAGGAGGAGGGCAUGCGCGGGGUGUGGUGGCCCGAACAGUGGUGGUGGCGUGCGUGAUGGCCAAGGGCAGAGGGGGCAUGCGGCUGAACUUUGGUGGCUGCAUCUUGGGUUGCUGCUGAAAAACCUUAAGCAAGUGGGCUGUUAUUUGGGCUAGGGUUUGAUGUAAAUUGGACUGUUUAAUAUUAUAAAUGGGCUAUUUAUUUUAGAC
rnacentral:lncRNA from 1 species